rnacentral:lncRNA from 1 species
CAGAUGAUGUGAUCUCUUCUGGCACUAGGAAUCUCAGCCCUUCACAAGCUACAGACUUCCUCAACUUCUAGGGCAAGGAUCCAUCUGGAAACAGAACACUUAUCCACACAUGGAAAGGAAGAAGGCUUUUGACACCAAGACCUGGGAAGAAUUCCCACAGGACCCACCAUUUGGUAAUAAGAACUUAAAGUCUGCUCUUGCACUUCAGCCUGCAGAUGUCUGACAGGCAACUGAAAACAGGACAAAAGCUUGGCAUCACUGCUUUCACAUUGCAUCUAUCUUUUUUGCUACCUUGAACCUUGUGUCCAAUUCCCGCUCCUCUCUGCACAUACACAUGUUAAUCAUUUAAGGAAUAUCCAUUUAAAACUGCUAAUAAAAUGUUGAUUAACCAUUAAUUUACUCAGUCUCUCUCUGCUUCCG